GACGAACGCUGGCGGCGUGCUUAACACAUGCAAGUCGAGCGGUAAGGCCCUUUCGGGGGUACACGAGCGGCGAACGGGUGAGUAACACGUGGGUGACCUGCCCUCAGCUCUGGGAUAAGCCUGGGAAACCGGUCUAAUACUGGAUAUGACUCCAUGACGCAUGUUGUGGGGUGGAAAGCCUUGUGCGGCUGAGGAUGGGCCCGCGGCCUAUCAGCUUGUUGGUGGGGUGANGGCCUACCAAGGCGACGACGGGUAGCCGGCCUGAGAGGGCGACCGGCCACACAGGGACUGAGACACGGCCCAGACUCCUACGGGAGGCAGCAGUGGGGAAUCUUGCGCAAUGGGCGAAAGCCUGACGCAGCGACGCCGCGUGAGGGAUGACGGCCUCGG
rnacentral:rRNA from 1 species